CAUCACAAAUCCUGUAAACUUACAAAACCCUAUCCAAUAAAAAAAUGCACCAAUUCUCUUUUUCCCCUCAUUUUUCUUUUGUUUCUGUUCAGUACGACACCAAGCGCAGGAUUGCGGCCGAGUCAUCUCUGAGACACUCUUACUUCCUGACUCUGGGCGAGAACAUUCACUCCAUACCUGACACCUCGUCUGUGUUUUCACUGAGGGAGAUCCAGCUACAGAAGGAUCUGGGACACAAGAGCUCAGUAUUUCAGCCGCUGGGUCGAGGCAAGAACCGCAGACAAAGCAUAUUCUGAAGACAAGAAUCAAAGUGGUGUGCAUGAAGAGAUCGCCAGAACAAAACCAUUAUGAAGCAAACAACUUUUUUUUCUCCAUUCAAAACAUGCAUGCAUCCAUUCACAUACACACCAAUUUAUUAGUCUGUACUUCAGAAAACGGACUGAAUAAAAGUGAAUCAUCCUCAGUCAUAACAUGCGCUGGUUACAAGUGUAACCAAGGCUAAAACAAAUCUCUCCUGCAGUCUAUUGUAAACCUAAAAACCACACUGAUCCUAAAGCUCAAAGCUUUAAAUGGAAAGACAUUUAGACUUGAGUUCAGCCUCUUCUCCUCCUGGAUCUAGUAGUACUUUCAGACGUUCAUAGUAUUUUUAAUUGUGCGUGAAUGUGUAUGUGCAGGAAACAUGGUAGCGUCAUGCCCUACUUUUUCCAUUGAGUGAAAUCUCCUUCAUUUCUGUUUGAGGUUUAACUUGUUUUGCCAUACGUGUUUGAUCAUUGCACAAGCUGAUAUUGCGGUUUAUUUCAUAAGCAUUCAUUCAAUACGAUAAUACAGAGAAGAGUUGAAACAUUAAAAAUGUAAAUUGUCGUAUAAAUAUUUGAGCCAUUGAAUAGAGAAUUACUUGAAUUCUGUCAUGAUACCAUUUAAGUUCAACUACUAAAGGUGCUGCAAGCGAUUCUAGAACAGAAUUCUUCUAAAUCCCACCCUGUCCACAGAAUGAUUGACAGGCAAAGAGUGUAUCUGGCUAGAAAAAAAAAGCUAUACUCGCUUACAGCAUCUUUAACUAGUUAUUAAUUUAUGAAAUCUUCAAAAGGUGCCUUUUGCAGACCGUAAGAGAUGAUGGGGUCCAAUUUUACGCCUUUCGAAAAACCAUCUACUUCAAUCUCCUCAAGGAUCUCGGUCCUUUCAAGUAAUUGCACAUGCAGAUAUUGGUUUUGCCAUUUAAGCUAAUUGCUACUCCGUAUGGCAUGCAAGUGUCUAGACCUGAAACCUAAUGUCGUUCACCUUCUCCUACUGUAUUUUGUAGUUUAAAAAUGAAAGCACUAUGACUCUUUGUUGUAAACGGCACUGAGCACAAACUAGUUUUACAGUGGACAGAAAUGAAAAGCUUUGUCAUUUAAAGGCCACCAAGGAACAGAAAUAUUGAGAAUGACUGACAAAGGGGAAAUUCUAUAAAAUAAUAUGACUUAAAAGGAUUUAGUUUAACGUUACUGCAGCAGCGGCACUAAUUUACGUGUUUUGUGGUAAAUGAAAAUAUUUUAAAUACACUAUUGAAAAGAAUUAAUAUAUAAAUAUAUGUAUUUUGACAAGUGUUUUCUUUAUUCUCCGUGAACUUUUGCCAGAAAAAAAAAUAAACUAGGGUAUUA